CCGUCACCGGCCACGGUCGAAUCUCUCUCUUCUCUCUUUUCCCUCUCUUUCCCAGCUUUCCUCCCGAACUCUCUGUCUCCUUAUCUCCUUACACUCAAGGACAAAUACUUGAAAGAAAUCUGCCGGUGAGAACUAUUGUCAAACACCUUGACGGAAAUCUAAGAACCGCUAAUGUACAAAUGCAAAACCGUCGAGAAUUGGAUUCCGUGAGUUGUUUUGAUGGAGCCCGUAGUUCAAAUCAUUCGCCAGCAUAGUCCACAUUGGAUUCCACCCACCGGUUACUCAUUGACGAGCUCUUCUCUCAGGUACUAAUCGAUUUCUGCCCUCUCUAGGGUUUCAAUUUUCAGCAUAUCACCUCAUUUAUUGGAAUUUUCUUUAUUCAAUUGAUAGGCUGAAGCACAAGGGGCGAUAAUUUGAGACGUCUCGAUUCUGUGUGAUUUAGCAGAAGUUUUGUGUAGUGCCCAAGAGGGCGGAAAUGAAAGACAGUGAGACAGAGAGUUCAGGAGGAAAGCUAGGAAAGGGAGGGAAAAGAGAGAGGAGAGAGAUCCGACCGUGGCCGGUGGUUGGUAGGCUGGGAGAAGAUGAAGAUAUACAGUAAUUUUUUAAUUUUUGCUUUUUCUAACAUAAUUUUUAACUUAUUUUAAUUUAGUAAAUGGAAAGUUACUAGUUUA
rnacentral:lncRNA from 1 species